rnacentral:rRNA from 1 species
UACGUAGGCAGCAAGCGUUGUUCGGAAUUACUGGGCGUAAAGAGUGUGUAGGCGGUGCUCUAAGUUCGGUGUGAAAUCUCCCGGCUUAACUGGGAGGGUGCGCCGGAAACUGGAGUGCUUGAGCGCGGGAGAGGAAAGCGGAAUUCCUGGUGUAGCGGUGAAAUGUGUAGAGAUCGGGAGGAACAUCCGUGGCGAAGGCGACUACCUGGACCAGCACUGACACUGAGGCACGAAAGCGUGGGGAGCAAACAGG